GAUGGGUGAAGCAGUCAUGGAGGGUCAGCGCUGGCUGCCACUGGAGGCCAAUCCUGAGGUCACCAACCAGUUUCUCAAACAAUUAGGUCUGCAUCCUAACUGGCAAUUUGUUGAUGUGUAUGGGAUGGAUCCUGAGCUCCUUAGCAUGGUUCCAAGACCUGUGUGUGCAGUGUUGCUUCUCUUCCCUAUUACAGAAAAGUAUGAAGUAUUCAGAACAGAGGAGGAAGAAAAAAUAAAAUCCCAGGGACAGGAUGUUACCUCAUCAGUAUAUUUCAUGAAGCAAACCAUCAGCAAUGCCUGCGGAACAACUGGACUGAUCCACGCUAUUGCAAACAACAAAGACAAAAUGAACUUUGAAUCUGGGUCAACCUUGAAAAUACUCCUGGAGGAGUCUGUGUCAAUGAAUCCUGAAGAACGAGCCAGAUACCUGGAGAACUAUGAUGCUAUACAAGUUACUCACGAGACCAGUGCCCAUGAAGGUCAAACAGAGGCACCAAGUAUAGAUGAAAAAGUAGAUCUUCAUUUUGUUGCAUUAGUUCAUGUAGAUGGGCAUCUCUAUGAAUUAGAUGGACGGAAACCAUUUCCAAUUAACCAUGGGAAAACUAGUGAUGAAACUUUAUUAGAGGACGCCAUAGAAGUUUGCAAGAAGUUUAUGGAAUGUGACCCUGAUGAGCUAAGGUUUAAUGCAAUUGCUCUUUCUGCAGCAUAGCCCGUCAGUCAUGGAAACACCAAAUACUAUAUUAUUUGCAACAAAAGUUAAAUUUCCGCUGCCAUACACUAACUCAAAAUUUUUGAUAUUUUUAUUAACUUGACUGAUUAAACUUUGUGAAUUAAACUUCAAUUUAAAAAAAAUACUGAUAUUAAAGCCAAAGGUUUUGCUCUUCUUGUUGAACAGAAAAAGUAGUCUUCAACAUCAAAUACAUGUUUUUGUGUUAACACAGGCAGAAACCUAAUGUAAUUUUGAGGUUCAGAAAAAAGAUAAAGGAAAAAUCCUAAGCACUGCUUCAACCUAAGUUAUGAUUCAGUUUCUUACAUACCUGUCAUAACACUCUGUUGGAAAUUCUGACAUCUAUUAGAUAUUUCUUCCUCAAUUCCCCUUUGGUUGUCACCAAAACAGUAAAG